AUUGUCUUCAUAAACUCAUUGCCUAUGAUCAUUUGGAGGGGGAUCCGGGUUUGAAUGGUGGAAAAAAUUCUGCACCUUUCACCGAUAUUCUGAACAUGGUUUGCAGCUGUGUCGAUAAUUCAUCACCAGACAGCACUGUACUCCAAGUGCUGAAGGUUCUUCUUACAGCUGUUGCUUCAGGAAAGUUCAAAGUGCAUGGGGAACCGUUGCUGGGUGU